rfam:Mucilaginibacter paludis DSM 18603 chromosome, whole genome shotgun sequence.
GGUAGUAGGCCUACCACAGUCGCUGUGCAAGCGGAGGCUGUAAACCUCCCAACUGGCGCGAGUAUGACGGGUUUGGCCAAAGCGUAAGGG